UGUUGGAAAAAGGAAAAUGACAGACAGUCAGCUGUAGAGGACUGGAGCGGAGAGAUCUUUGGCUUUGAUAGUCGCUGUUUCUUCUCCAGCCUGAACAGACAGAGUCACUUUCUCUUGUCCAGCAGCUCUGCAUAGGGCCGCUGUUACAGACACAGGUGUACUGGACCUAACAGGUACCAGAUCCAGGUGUCUGGUUCUGAAUGGGUGGACUGUCCAGCAGGAGGCUCCAUUCAGAUAAAAGGAUACCAGGGUUUAGUUUUCUGCCCUGACAGGAAGUUAUGUUUGUAUGUUGACAUUACUCCUCCCUCAGAU